ensembl:lncRNA
CCCGCCCGGCGCCAGGCAGCCGCGGGUGGGAGUCGCUCUCUGCCCGAGGCCCGCGGGUGGGUAGAGGGGACCUCUGGAAACAGCUCUGUGGGAAAGACAGCGAGCGGGUGCAGCCUGGGGCAGAAGUGGUGGCCAUGAGAGGCGAUGAGGCCAGGAAGAUGGAGGAGGAGGCGGCCUAAGGUCUUUCCCUUUAGCAAGCUCCUACUGGGAUCCAAAUACGUGGCCGGCUCAGGGAAAGCAGCUCGUCAGAAGUCAAGGCGAGAAUGUGGACUUUGCAGCUAGAGAAAGUGAGUGUUCCUUAACCCGCUGCCGCUGCCUUGCUGUGACCUGGAUCGAGUUGUGCAGCCUCUGAGUCUAUUUCCUCUGAAACAGCAAUAAUGAUAACCUUGCUGGGUUGUAGUGACAAUUAGAAAAAAUUAAGAUAAAAUGGAGUUUGGCACCUGGUAAGUACUAGAUAAGUGUUAUGACGGAAGACACUAUCCUCUGAGUUUUCUGACCUAGAGCCAAAUUGCUUUCACUCUCUAAUUAGACUAAUGGAUUGGCACAUUGGUCUAAGCUUUUGUCCUGGCCACCUGAACAGCUCAGUCCUGGGAGUCCUGACAAGCAAUUUCCUUGGAAUUAGCUUAAUAAUGCCUGGUAGGUGUGUGAUGCAUUUCAAAGAACUUUCCCAUCAUUAUCUUCAGUCAAGGGAGGCAGCCAGGCAAAAAAGAGUGGCUCUCAGAGGUGAAGUCCCACAACCUAAGAGCCGAUGCUGCUCUUUCAAUCCAUCCCAGUCCUGCAGCUUCUGAGCAAGCAGGAGGCCAGACACUAUGCAGAAAUGGAUGCAGGCCAUGGAGUUUAAAUACUUGGAUCUAUUGCAGUUAAGGAUGUCUUAUUGGGCCAGGCAUCUCAGGACUACUUCCUCAAGAUCAGCUCCCUUUUACAGAUGUGAAAGCUGAGGCUCAACAGAGGCAAAGUCUCUCUAGCCUAUGUGGCAGGCAGGGAUUUGCACCUUCCUGUGGCUGUCCCCAGAGCCAUCAUAGCACCCCAUCAUAUGCUCUACAGCAGACCUAAGUGGGGUCCUGUAUUUGGUUUGGAUUUUCAUAUGGGAACUAAGGGAUUCCGGAGGUUGAGCAUUGCUACUGUUCUGCAAAGUUAUGUAUGUGUGUAUACUUUAUAAAGAGAGUGUUCAUACUAUUAGAUCAUUGGAGGAAUCAGGACUAGAAACAGGAUAAGAACAACUGGUCAGGCUAGGAGGAUGGUUGGCAGAGAAAGAGACUGUACCUCCUCCAUGUCCUUGUGUACCCCAGAAAGCACACCAGGGUUAAGGCACAAAGGGUGAUGACAUGACAUGUUUGUUAUGAAACACUAAAGUAACACAUGCCAGGGGCCAACUCAAAGAUGACAUCAUAUCAUAAAC